CGUACGGUGAUAGGGUCGCCACGCCACCCGCCUCAGCGCUGCCCGCACGCGCCUCCUAGGUCACCACUGCCCGCCCGCUGCUCCAGUGUACACAGGUUCAAUAUCUCCCAUGGACUGAUCCUAUGCUCCUGGCUUUGUGAUCUGAGAGACAUAGCAGUUAAGAUUUUGUUUUUGGUGUGAAAUCAUCUAACACUUUAUGUGUUUUUUUUCUUUCUGUGAAAUUAGCCUACGCUAUAUGAAUUUACUCUCUAGCCUGUCCUUUAGCUGGUGGCUGUUAAAUUUGAUGACAAAGAAGGUAGCAAACAAGAAAUGCAAACCAAUGAUGACAUGUGUGUUACUGUUUAAACCGGUUGCACAAUACAUGUGUAUGCAAUGCAGCUGCAUAUUUUGCACAGUUCAGGCUCUGUUGUCCAUAUUUACUUGUAGUUGUCACUUGCCUGUAUGCUGCAGCUGGUGGUCUGAUCGUAUAUAUAGUUUAAUCUUUCAUGGAAAAGAUUGCAUUUCCUUUUUUAUCUAGAUUGAGUUUCAGACAUAUAUACUAGGUUACUAGGUUCCGUAACUAAAUUGUUCAGUCAAAAUUGUGGAGCUGGACUUUAUUCAGUCAAAACUCAAAACUACUGAGUUAACAGAUUUCCUUUUCUCCAAGUAAUGUUCAUGCUGGCUACCAUAUGUUAGAUUGUUUUGCUAUUUGAUUGAGAUACCUAAUGAAUCUUGUCAUGUUUACUAUCGAGUGGUUCUGACCAGUUUACAUUAUGCAGGAAAAAACGGUUGAUCUGAGCGAAGAGGCUCUACUAAAUUAGCAUCAAAUUGUCAGCAAGACGUUCCGUAGCGAGGAAGAAGGGUAUGGGUUUUACAACAGCUAAGCACUUGAUAGAGGGUUUACUGUGAGGAGAUGCUACGUGGAAAGAGACACGACAACAAAGAAAUUAUGUCUAAGGAAAUUUCUGUGCGAUCGUCAGGGGUUCCAUGAAGCUAGGCACAUGAACAAAGCGAUUAAGAAGAGAAAGCCACAGAAUUUGAGUCAUUGGGGGUGUCUAGCCAAAAUGCUGAUUAAACUCAACAAGGAUAUAGGACAGUGAAGAGUUUAGAAAAUUUCUAUACGUUCUAUAGAAGAGGUUGAGAGGAAAUGGGACGAAUUUUUAGAAAGGAACAAAAUUUCAAGCAAGCACGAGUGUCUGCAUCAAAUGUACCAGAUUAGGAACCUAUGGUGUGCUGCAUAUCAGGUGGACCGAUGUUUCUUAGGCUUGAGGAGCAACCAACGCAGUGAAAGUCUUAAUUCAAAACUGCAUAGAAAUCUGGAUAGGAAGAUGAUGCUAUUAGAUAUGUAUGAACACUAUGAGCAUUGCUUGGCCAAUCUGCGUCGAAAUGAGACAUAUAUAGAUGCUCCAGCAUCUUAGUCUAUUUCAUUCAGGGAAAAGCAAGCUGAUCCUAUGGCGAAACAUGUUGCUGAAGUUUUUACACCUAAAGUAUUUGCAUUGGUGAAGGAAAAAUGGAUUCUGUAGGAAAUUAUGUUAUUUGGGACAUACAAGAUGGAUGUGACAGCACACCAUAUGGCAUUAGUGUGAAGAACAGAAGGGAGUGGAAGUUCCAGGUUCAUUGUGAAAUCAAUGAUGAGUCCACAAUAAGUCUGAUUCGGUGCUUUUGUUGUAAGCUGGAACGCGAUGGCAUACCUUGUGGUCACAUCUUCUGUGUCUUGAAAGUAUUGCGUGCAGAAUGAAUUCCAAGUUGCUGUGUGCUUAGUAGGUGGUCCAUGAUUGUAUAUUCUGUUUUUGUAUGCCUUAACCAUAGUUAUAACUUUAUAUGCAUAUAUCUAUAUUCUGUGAAGUAGUCAUCUUAUAGUUUCAUCGACACUUUCUGUAAAUCAUGAGUUUGGGCCUUGUCCUUCCAGUAAUUUUCACUUGUCCAUUUGCAAACUGCCUAUGCUAUACCUUACUAAAUCCAUUUGCAAACUGCCUUAUUAAAUCCAGUUUUGAGACCAACUUACAUAAUCUUUCUUAGUCAGAUUUGUUUCGUUCAAAGCUAGUCUUAAUUAGGAAUUCUCAGACAUGCUAUUAGUUAACCUUCCUUUUUCCUUUUCAGUUCUACCAGCCUUUCUUCCUCUGGAGUCCAGGCUAUGUGAUUCCUGGAGCUAUGGAGGACCUGGAGCCCACUGAAGAUUGCUACCUUCCUCUAUUGCAAGCCAUGUAGCGAUCCUACUGCCUAAAUUUGUUUUGUGUGCUUCCUCAUAAUUUAGUGGACAAUUCAAUCCUUGAUGUAAGAUAUGCAACCGAACUUGUAAAUAUCAUGUCAAUUUCAGUGUGAUUCACCUGGCAGCUAAACUAAACUGUGUUCUGCUUUAUGCUUGUGCAUGUAUGCCCUGGUAAUUAGUAAGUCUAAACUUCUUAAUGCAAAACUAAACUAUGUUCAUAUCCUUUAUGCUUGUGCCUGUAUGCUCUGGUAAUUAGUAAGUCUAAAGUUCUUGAUGCAACAUACGUCCAAAGCAGAAAGAAUGCAACCCUCAAGUGCAGCAGAAUUACCUGAUACACCUACUUGGUGUGUUAUAUUUAGUCCCAUGGCCAAAAUAUCAGCGCCGCAUGUGAGCACAAUAUCUGCCACGGUAGGAUCUCCAAAUGUUUGUUGAUAACAUGAACUCGGUAAACAAGAAGCAAAGUGAUGCUCUGCUUAAGCAUCACCUAACUUUGUAUUAUCUCAAUCGCGGUACUUGCCAGCUCAUCUGCAGAGCUUUUGUGAAACUACUUACUUACCCGAUAACUAAGGACUAUGUAAUGCAACAUAGAAAUUAAAAAGAGAACCCUCACAUUUGCCUCAGCUGCAGGGCCCAUAUUUCCAUUAAUCGAAUACACAAGCCAAGAAUAAAGAAGCCAGACAAGCUAAACCACAAGAGAGAUAUACGAGAUAGGUGCAUCCAGUGUACCAGCUCAUAGUAGUAGACAACUCUAACACUACAGGUCAUUGUGUAAAUGAAUCUUCAAUUGACAGAUGCAACAACAACAGAUAAUCUUAAGAAUUGAAAGCUCAGCAUUAACCGAGGUGGAUGCCUGCGGCUGAAGUUUGGGCAAUAGACCACGGGCGCUUGCUUGCUCGUGUACACUUGCAGGCUAAAACUUGAGCCGACGACUCGAGCUGGAGCAGCAGCAGCUGCCGCUCACCUUGGAUACGACCUCGAGGCCUGGAGCAAUUGCCGCCGGAGCUGGUGGACCAAAGCUCGUGCACUAGUCAGCCCUCGCAUGCUAUGAGGGAGGGAGGUGCAGGGCCUGCCCACCGGGGGCCACACGCUGGUGAGCACCACCUUGCCGCUAGCCCAGGUCGCUGGCUCACCACGCGCCUCGCCGCCUCCUAGAUCGUCGGCUCGCCGCCCGACUGCCUCGCUGCAAGUUGCAUCAGCGCCCCCCUUCACCACCACGUCACCCUAGGGUGGGCGACCGCCUCGCCGGCUCUCUGGGUCGUCGCUCACCGGUCAGCUCCGCGCGUUAGGAGAGGGAUGCAGGUGCGGGGCUUGCCCACCGGGGGCUGCGCAUCAGUGAGAUCCCGUGUCGCCGCCAGCCACUAGGGGCCACGCGCCAGUCACCACACAUGCCCAAAGAGGAAGGGAGGUGCGGGGCCUGCCCACCGGGGGCCGUGCGUCAUCGAGCCCCCACACUAGCCACCAGGGGCCACGCGCCGAUGACCACCCGCGCCCGCCAGGAGCUUAGAGAGACGAUGAGAGACAGAGAUCGCACAUGCGGAUUUGAGAAGCAGCUCCUGUUCGUGUGUGGAUGAGAAGUAAGCUCCUAUUUCUGUGCGGAUGAGAAGCAGACUUCAUUUUUCUGAUUCAAAGAAGCGACAGUGGAGAUGUCAAAAAUACUGUUAUACCCUUCUUAUUUAUUUAUUUA
rnacentral:lncRNA from 1 species